CCAGGGUGAGUGAGAAAGUAACUGAACAAUAGUGAGCCUAGCUGGCUGGCCUGGUAGGCAAGUUCCAGAAGAGAAGGGCAGAGUUACCUGAAGGGUAAAGGAAGCCUUCUUUCCAAACAGAAGGGUAACGAUUGUGAGGAACAUAGAGGUGGAAAUGAGAGAAGAUGACAAUGGUUUGAAGUGGUGGCCUCUGUCUUAGCGCAGAACAAACCAGUAACAGAACACUGAACAUGAUGGGGCUGGAAGAUUGCAUGUCGAAGACUCCUUUGCAGAUUUUCCUCCUUGCGUUGGCUGCGGAUCCCCAGAACCCUGCUCAACAAAGCAGUGGAAAAUGUUGCUUAGGAAUUCCAGAUCCCAAGAGAGUGGGCAACUCCCUCAUCAGAGGUGGAUUAUGUUGGCGUACUGCCUCAAUGGAAGACGUUUUGGGAACCCGGUACACAUAAGUGUACUACUGUGACAGUGUACAUCAAGUUCAUCAAGCAGAGCUUCGGUGGUCAUGCAGGUAAAAAUGGUUUUCUUUUUGUUUGUUUGUUUUUUGUUUUUGUCUUAAAGUACCAGG
rnacentral:lncRNA from 1 species